CAAAAGGUCCUUCUCAGGGCCACCCACGAAGUCUGCUAAAGAGCUG
rfam:Canis lupus familiaris chromosome 35, whole genome shotgun sequence.